rnacentral:rRNA from 1 species
CCCCCACACCAGAAUUUUGACCUCGGAUCAGGUAGGGAUACCCGCUGAACUUAAGCA